UACGUAGGGUCCGAGCGUUGUCCGGAAUUACUGGGCGUAAAGGGCUCGUAGGCGGCCAACUAAGUCAGACGUGAAAUCCCUCAGCUUAACUGGGGAACUGCGUCUGAUACUGGAUGGCUUGGACUCGGGAGAGGAAUGCGGAAUUCCAGGUGUAGCGGUGAAAUGCGUAGAUAUCUGGAGGAACACCGGUGGCGAAGGCGGCAUUCUGGACCGACAUUGACGCUGAGGAGCGAAAGCCAGGGGAGCAAACGGG
rnacentral:rRNA from 1 species